AUUGAACGCUGGCGGCAGGCCUAACACAUGCAAGUCGAACGAGUGGCGGACGGGUGAGUAAUGUCUGGGAAACUGCCUGAUGGAGGGGGAUAACUACUGGAAACGGUAGCUAAUACCGCAUACCCUCAGAUUAGCCCAGAUGGGAUUAGCUUGUUGGUGGGUAAACGGCUCACCAAGGCGACGAUCCCUCGCUGGUCUGAGAGGAUGACCGGCCACACUGGACCUGAGACACGGUCCAGACUCCUACGGGAGGCAGCAGUGGGGAUCAUUGCAAAAUGGGCGCAAGCCUGAGGCAGCCAGGCCGCGUGUAUGAAGAAGGCCUUCGGGUUGUAAAGUACUUUCAGCGGGGAGGCGUUACCCGCAUAGGAAGCACCGGCUAACUACGUGCCAGCAGCCGCGGUAAUUC
rnacentral:rRNA from 1 species